AAGAGGACACCUAAACUAAAGACUUUGAGGAGAAGUUUAUUAUUUAUUUGUACUACUUACCAGGCAAAGAGGGGGGUUAGGCAAAGUGGUAAGAAGUUAUAGUUUAGUACCAGCAGGCUAGAAAUGCCUAGCCACCCUUACCCUGAAGGGACAAGGUGGGGAAGCAGUUACCAGCACCUGGACAGUGACUGACUGACAGAGGGUUGCAGCCAACCCAAAUGGACCUGGCACACGGAGCCAAGAGACUUAUGCCUACUCUUUUGACCCCAUUCGCCUCCUGCCCUGCAGUUUCCUGCCAGAACGCCCCAUUGGCCAAAUCCAACCGGAAGUUAGAAUGGAAGGGAGACCAUGGACCCAUUUUCUCCAGACCUGCUUCCAGCGAAGGCACAGAGGAGUUGGGACGCACCUGGAGCAGCACACAGGGAGAUACUUAGUGCAAUCUCAAACGUUGCUAGAGGCAAAAGCGGCUGCGUCAAUGAUUGUAGUGCUAAUUGUUACAGACAUGACCACAAUGCCAAGGCGAAUGGGGACAAUGAAAUCCAUGGCUGGUUUUAAGGGCAGGUGCAGAGGAUCCAGCAUGUUAUUCUGAAACCCCAGAAGACGCUGCAGCUACCAAAUAGAAGGAGCCUGGAUCCCUGAAUGUCUUCAUGGAACAGAACAUUCUCCUCACUCCAGUCUGUUUGAACCAGAAUAUGACCUGAGCAAGAAAUAAGCCUUAAUUAUAUUUGA
rnacentral:lncRNA from 1 species